ACGAAGGGGGCUAGCGUUGCUCGGAAUCACUGGGCGUAAAGCGCACGUAGGCGGCUUUUUAAGUCAGGGGUGAAAUCCCGGAGCUCAACUCCGGAACUGCCUUUGAUACUGAGAAGCUUGAGUUCGGGAGAGGUGAGUGGAACUGCGAGUGUAGAGGUGAAAUUCGUAGAUAUUCGCAAGAACACCAGUGGCGAAGGCGGCUCACUGGCCCGAUACUGACGCUGAGGUGCGAAAGCGUGGGGAGCAAACAG
rnacentral:rRNA from 1 species